AGGACGAACGCUGGCGGCGUGCCUAACACAUGCAAGUCGAACGGAACUCAACUAGUGGCAACACUAGGGAAAGUUUAGUGGCGAACGGGUGAGUAACACGUGAGCAACCUGCCCCGAAGAUCGGGAUAACGGCGGGAAACUGCCGCUAAUACCGAAUGCCCCCACGAGCCCGCAUGGGUUUGUGAGGAAAGGAUUCUGCUUCGGGAGGGGCUCGCGGCCUAUCAGCUUGUUGGUGGGGUAACGGCCUACCAAGGCGACGACGGGUAGCUGGUCUGAGAGGACGAUCAGCCACACUGGGACUGAGACACGGCCCAGACUCCUACGGGAGCAGC
rnacentral:rRNA from 1 species